rnacentral:rRNA from 1 species
AGUUUGAUCCCUGCUCAGGACGAACGCUGGCGGCGUGCCUAAUACAUGCAAGUCGAGCGGACAGAUGGGAGCUUGCUCCCUGAUGUUAGCGGCGGACGGGUGAGUAACACGUGGGUAACCUGCCUGUAAGACUGGGAUAACUCCGGGAAACCGGGGCUAAUACCGGAUGGUUGUUUGAACCGCAUGGUUCAGACAUAAAAGGUGGCUUCGGCUACCACUUACAGAUGGACCCGCGGCGCAUUAGCUAGUUGGUGAGGUAACGGCUCACCAAGGCAACGAUGCGUAGCCGACCUGAGAGGGUGAUCGGCCACACUGGGACUGAGACACGGCCCAGACUCCUACGGGAGGCAGCAGUAGGGAAUCUUCCGCAAUGGACGAAAGUCUGACGGAGCAACGCCGCGUGAGUGAUGAAGGUUUUCGGAUCGUAAAGCUCUGUUGUUAGGGAAGAACAAGUGCCGUUCAAAUAGGGCGGCACCUUGACGGUACCUAACCAGAAAGCCACGGCUAACUACGUGCCAGCAGCCGCGGUAAUACGUAGGUGGCAAGCGUUGUCCGGAAUUAUUGGGCGUAAAGGGCUCGCAGGCGGUUUCUUAAGUCUGAUGUGAAAGCCCCCGGCUCAACCGGGGAGGGUCAUUGGAAACUGGGGAACUUGAGUGCAGAAGAGGAGAGUGGAAUUCCACGUGUAGCGGUGAAAUGCGUAGAGAUGUGGAGGAACACCAGUGGCGAAGGCGACUCUCUGGUCUGUAACAGAAGCUGAGGUGCGGAGGCAAUAAAG